rnacentral:ncRNA from 2 species
UUAAGUCACUAGGGGUGCUUUUUAUUAAAGGCUGAGAGAAGCUGAAACCUUCAACCCUUGGAACCUGAUCCGGUUAAUACCGGCGUAGGGAAAGUGUAUGAGGCAACCG